rnacentral:rRNA from 1 species
AACGAACGCUGGCGGCAUGCCUAACACAUGCAAGUCGAACGAUCCCUUCGGGGAUAGUGGCGCACGGGUGCGUAACGCGUGGGAACCUGCCCUUAGGUUCGGAAUAACUCAGAGAAAUUUGAGCUAAUACCGGAUAAUGUCUUCGGACCAAAGAUUUAUCGCCUUUGGAUGGGCCCGCGUUGGAUUAGCUAGUUGGUGGGGUAAAGGCCUACCAAGGCGACGAUCCACAGCUGGUCUGAGAGGAUGAUCAGCCACACUGGGACUGAGACACGGCCCAGACUCCUACGGGAGGCAGCAGUGGGGAAUAUUGGACAAUGGGCGAAAGCCUGAUCCAGCAAUGCCGCGUGAGUGAUGAAGGCCUUAGGGUUGUAAAGCUCUUUUACCCGGGAUGAUAAUGACAGUACCGGGAGAAUAAGCCCCGGCUAACUCCGUG